CGCCAACAUUCCCUCCGGCAACAAACUAGAGCAGAAGCCAGCCGGCUUGCUCUGAAUACCUCAGUCCCGCCGAUCUCCGGAUCACCAGCUGGUUUUGAUUGUGGCUGGAUCUCAGAAGGCGGCGGGCCACACGUCUGUCCCGUUCACGGCUGAGAUGUCGUCCACGAAACUCGGGAACCCUAACCACACCGUAGACCGGACUGUGAUACCUAAGGGAGAAUCAGGUGAUGCUUUGUAUCUGCUCCUAAUGCAAAUCUAAAGGUGACUUGUUGACUCUGUAAAAAUGAUGGAUGGACGGAUGGAUGGAUAGAUAGAUAGAUAGGAAGGGAAAGAGAAAGAUGUGAGGGAGACAGGGAGGAAAGAAACACACGCUGGUGUGUGCAGAGAGACAGAGAAAAAAAUAAGACUCAGAAAAUAAUUAUUAUGGUGGUGGAGCAAAAUCCCAGGCACUUUGACGUCAACUUCCACCACCGUUAGCCAGAGUGCUGUCCUAAUGUUGUCUCCUUAUUUGGCACCCAGAAGUGAUUAUGUGAAUAACAAUUUCUAUUUCUUGGCUACAUUUUUAACGUCCAAGUUAACUAGUCCUCACAUAAAAAAGAAUGAUUGAAAAGGCACAUACUGAAGUUUAAAAAGAUAGUUCUUUCAUUCUUUAAAAAAAAUACAUUUAAGAUUUUCACAAAUUAGCUCUUGAUAAUCUACUUUUGACAUUUAUUAUUUGUGAGUUUUCCUUGCUAUUUGACCCAAAUAUCUAAUUCUCCUCAACACAGUAUACACACCUAAGGCAUAUAUUAGGGUUCUUUGUUAAGUAAUUCGAUAGAUAGCCUUUGUUUAAGCAUUCACUAUGUAACACGCUGCUCAAGGGGACCCGUGAGCAGUACAGUUACACACUAGUGUAGUGUGUGUAUUUCACAUACAAAAAUAUACACUGUGUCAUAUACCACUAAAGGGGGACUAUUAACACUA